GACGAGAGGGUGCUAGCGUUGUUCGGAAUUACUGGGCGUAAAGGGCGCGUAGGCGGCUUGUUUAGUCGGGUGUGAAAAUCCCGGGGCUCAACCCCGGAACUGCAUUCGAUACUGGGCAGGCUAGAGACCGGAAGAGGUGGGUGGAAUACCCAGUGUAGAAGGUGAAAUUCGUAGAUAUUGGGUGGAACACCGGUGGCGAAGGCGGCUCACUGGUCCGGUUCUGACGCUGAGGCGGCGAAAGCGGUGGGGAGCAAACAGGG
rnacentral:rRNA from 1 species